AGUUUGUAUUUUUCGUGAUACUGAUAACAUUUGGCUGCCUAAUAUAUCAAAAUCUAUGUUUUCUUAUGUAAUAACUCUACCUUCAUCGUUGUAUAUUCACCACAAUGUCUGUUAUGCAUUUACAUGGUCGUAUUCAUCAAUUUAGUGUGCUGUUCGGCAAUGGCGACCUUGAAAUUCCUCUGGUCCGAUAAUGGCGCCAAAUUAGAGGGAAGCAACUCGCGCCAGACA
rnacentral:lncRNA from 1 species